GAUGAACGCUGGCGGCGUGCCUAAUACAUGCAAGUCGAGCGAACGGACGAGAAGCUUGCUUCUCUGAUGUUAGCGGCGGACGGGUGAGUAACACGUGGAUAACCUACCUAUAAGACUGGGAUAACUUCGGGAAACCGGAGCUAAUACCGGAUAAUAUUUUGAACCGCAUGGUUCAAAAGUAAAAGACGGUCUUUCUGUCACUUAUAGAUGGAUCCGCGCUGCAUUAGCUAGUUGGUAAGGUAACGGCUUACCAAGGCAACGAUGCAUACCCGACCUGAGAGGGUGAACGGCCACACUGGAACUGAGACACGGUCCAGACUCCUACGGGAGGCAGCAGUAGGGAAUCUUCCGCAAUGGGCGAAAGGCUGACGGAGCAACGCCGCGUGAGUGAUGAAGGUCUUCGGAUCGUAAAACUCUGUUAUUAGGGAAGAACAAAUGUGUAAGUAACUGUGAACAUCUUGACGGUACCUAAUCAGAAAGCCACGGCUAACUACGUG
rnacentral:rRNA from 1 species